UAGCAAGAGUGCAAGUAAAGGAUUUAUACAGUUCAUAUAUGAUAUCUGAAAGUAAAAUAUUUUUUUCCCAGUGUAGAUGCAGACUUUCAUUUAGAUUUAGCAGGUGAGAAAUAAAUUAAUAUGUUUCCAAAACUGCUACAAAUUCAGUCUUUUUUCCUAUUCAAAUGUCACAGAAACAUGCCUUGGAAAUCAACCUCUGGAGGUUACCUAGUUCAAUAUCCUUCUCAAACUGAUAACACUACUUCUGUCUGUCUUGGCACAGUUUAACCAUGAUGAGAAAUGUUUGACGAUGAAGGCUCAGCAAAGGAAAACAAUACAGGAAGAAGAGAUCUACCUAAGUGAAAGAUUCCACUUGGCACAAAAGCAACUGGCUAUGAUUAAGUGCAGGCCAGAAAUUCAAAGGAAAUUUGGACUACCAGAUGAGUUUGAUUCUAAUGUGACUCUUGAGGGCAUUAUGGUUGGAGCUUAUGUCAGCCACAACAGAAGAAAGUGCUUGAGUGAAUCGAUGGCAAACCGUUGUACAACCUAAAGAAUUCACAAUUUUCACAUACUGAAGGGCAAGAUGUCACAUUUCACAGAAGUGGUUGCUGUCUCUGUCUCAUCCAAGGAUGCUGGAAGGAAGCUGGGAGCCCUCUUGAGGCUGGAAAAUAAAGAAAGCUAAUCAGAAAACCUCCUGGCUCUG
rnacentral:lncRNA from 1 species